UCCAGACUCCUACGGGAGGCAGCAGUGGGGAAUAUUGCGCAAUGGGCGAAAGCCUGACGCAGCGACGCCGCGUGAGGGAUGAAGGUCUUCGGAUCGUAAACCUCUGUCAGCAGGGAAGAACGGUCACUGUGCUAAUCAGCAGUGAAUUGACGGUACCUGCAAAGGAAGCACCGGCUAACUCCGUGCCAGCAGCCGCGGUAAUACGGAGGAUGCGAGCGUUAUCCGGAUUUAUUGGGUUUAAAGGGUGCGUAGGCGGGUUAUCAAGUCAGCGGUAAAAUCGUGGAGCUCAACUCCAUCCAGCCGUUGAAACUGAUGAUCUUGAGUGGGCGAGAAGUAUGCGGAAUGCGUGGUGUAGCGGUGAAAUGCAUAGAUAUCACGCAGAACUCCGAUUGCGAAGGCAGCAUACCGGCGCCCGACUGACGCUGAAGCACGAAAGCGUGGGUAUCGAACAGGAUUAGAUACCCCCGUAA
rnacentral:rRNA from 1 species